GAUGAACGCUGGCGGCGUGCCUAAUACAUGCAAGUCGAGCGAAUGGAUUAAGAGCUUGCUCUUAUGAAGUUAGCGGCGGACGGGUGAGUAACACGUGGGUAACCUGCCCAUAAGACUGGGAUAACUCCGGGAAACCGGGGCUAAUACCGGAUAACAUUUUGAACCGCAUGGUUCGAAAUUGAAAGGCGGCUUCGGCUGUCACUUAUGGAUGGACCCGCGUCGCAUUAGCUAGUUGGUGAGGUAACGGCUAACCAAGGCAACGAUGCGUAGCCGACCGGAGAGGGUGAUCGUCCACACUGGGGCUCAGACGCGGCCCAGACUCCUACGGGAGGCAGCAGUAGGGAAUCUUCCGCAAUGGACGAAGUUCUGACGGAGCAACGCCGCGUGAGUGAUGAAGGCUUUCGGGUCGUAAAACUCUGUUGUUAGGGAAGAACAAGUGCUAGUUGAAUAAGCUGGCACCUUGACGGUACCUAGCCAGAAAGCCACGGCUAACUACGUGCCAGCCGCCGCCGUAA
rnacentral:rRNA from 1 species